AUGAUCCCAUGGCUGAAUUUGGUGUCCUUGUUAGUGUUCCUUCAAGGUGUCCAAUCUGAGGUUCAAUUGGUGGAGUCUGGAGGGGAUGUGAGAGGACCUGGGAAGUCCCUCCGUCUCUCCUGCCAAGUCUCUGGAUUCACCUUCAGCAGCUACUGGAUGGUUUGGGUGAGACAGGCUCCAGGGAAAGGCCUGGAAUGGGUGGCCUUAAUAGUUACAGGCUCAUCUCCUUCCACUUACUACCCAGACAAAGUCAAGGGACGCUUCACCAUCUCCAGGGACGAUGCCAAAAGCCAGCUGUAUCUGCAAAUGAACAGCCUCAAACCAGAGGACACAGCUGUCUAUUACUGUGCAAGACACAGUGAGAGGAAGUGA